AACGAACGCUGGCGGCAUGCCUAACACAUGCAAGUCGAACGAGACCUUCGGGUCUGCUUGCGCACGGGUGCGUAACGCGUGGGAACCUGCCCUUAGGCUCCGAAUAACUCCCCGAAGGGGGUGCUAAUACCGGAUAAUUUCUUCGGACCAAAGAUUUAUCGCCUUUGGAUGGGCCCGCGUUGGAUUAGCUAGUUGGUAGGGUAAAAGCCUACGAAGGCGACGAUCCAUAGCUGGUCUGAGAGGAUGAUCAGCCACACUGGGACUGAGACACGGCCCAGACUCCUACGGGAGGCAGCAGUGGGGAAUAUUGGACAAUGGGCGAAGGCCUGAUCCAGCAAUGCCGCGUGAGUGAUGAAGGCCUUAGGGUUGUAAAGCUCUUUUACCCGGGAUGAUAAUGACAGUACCGGGAGAAUAAGCUCCGGCUAACUCCGUG
rnacentral:rRNA from 1 species